AUCUGGUUGAUUCUGCCAGUAGUCAUAUGCUUGUCUCAAAGACUAAGCCAUGCAUGUGUAAGUAUAAGCCAACUUGUACGGUGAGACUGCGAAUGGCUCAUUAUAUCAGUUAUAAUUUAUUUGAUGGUAGAAUAUAUAUGGAUAACCGUAGGAAACUAGGGCUAAUACAUGCGCAAAACGCACUACGAUAGAGUAGGCGUGUAUUUAUUAGAAAGGAUACCAAAAAAAUAAAGGUGAGACAUGAUAACUUCUCUAAUCGCAAAAAGGCUGAAAAGUCGGCGAUGCAUCAUAUAAAUUUCUGCCCUAUCAACUUAGGAUGGUAGGAUAGAGGCCUACCAUGGUGGCAACGGGUACGGGGAAUUAGGGUUUGAUUCCGGAGAGGGAGCCUGAGAAAUGGCUACCACAUCCAAGGAAGGCAGCAGGCGCGAAAAUUCCACCCUUGCAAUACGCAGAUGGAGUGACAAGAAAUAACGGAUCCAGGCCCAACGGGUCUAGGAGAUCGGGAUGAGAACAACGUAAAAAGUUUAACGAAAGCAACUGGAGGGCAAGUCUGGUGCCAGCAGCCGCGGUAAUACCAGCUCCAGUAGCGUAUACUAAAGUUGCUGCGGUUAAAAAGCUCGUAGUUGAAGGUCGUAUUAGGAGGGAGAUUAGUGACUCUACGAAAAAGUAGGGGAAGCUAAAACUUCUGAUACUAAGUCGGGGAGGUAAUUACUGCACUUUAAUGGGUGGUAAUUAAGCUUCGACGAUAUACCUUGAGAAAAUUAGAGUGUUCAAAGCAAGUGAAAAAGCUGUGAAUAUAUUAGCAUGGAAUAAAAGAAGAGGAUUUUUGUCCUUUAGUUGGUAGAAGGAUGAAGAUAAUGAUUAAUAGGGACAGUUGGGGGCGUCAGUAUUCUGUGGUCAGAGGUGAAAUUCAAGGAUUCACGGAAGACUAACAAGUGCGAAAGCAUUCGCCAAGGAUGUUUUCAUUAAUCAAGAACGAAAGUUGGGGGAUCGAAGACGAUCAGAUACCGUCGUAGUCCAAACCAUAAACUAUGCCGACUCGGGAUUGGGAUUGGAUAAAAUUAUGGACGAUUCCAGGACCGUAAGAGAAAUCAAAGUUAUUGGGUUCCGGGGGGAGUAUGGUCGCAAGGCUGAAACUUAAA
rnacentral:rRNA from 1 species